rnacentral:misc_RNA from 1 species
GGGGAAUCAAAUGAUUACAUCAAGCCGUCCCAAACUGAUGAAGAACUUGCUUAUGACCGUGAUAUUGAAGAAGUUGAGGAUAGUUGUGGUAGAAUACCUGUUGGAAAAGCGUAUGACGUUGUCCCUGAACAUAAAGAGUUGGAUGAGAACCUCAUCUCUGGGAUGCAAGAACUUAAAGAGCUGGAUGUGAACCUCAUUUCUGGGAUUCGAUUGUUGAACGGAAGAUUAGAUAAAAGAACCGUGGAAAAGAUAUUUCGUGAUGGAAUGAUGAGCUCUGAUGGUAGUAUAGAGAUACUUAAUAUAAAACACUGCAAUGACACUUCAAUGCAAUCUCAAUUAGAGCUUUUCAAUAAGCAAAUUGAAAUGACCAAAUUGUACAGAGGGGAUGCGAAUGUUCGUUUUGCUUGGCUUGCUAUUUCUGAAACAGAAUUAUCUAGCUUGAUGAUGUAUGGAAUUGGGCAUUGUGCAGUUUCCUCAAUCAAAUCCAUGUAUGGCACUGGUGUUCACCUCACAGCUGUCAAUUGCUCGAAUGUCAGUGCAAAUAUUGAUGACAAUGGAGUGCAGCAUCUGGUAUUUUGCCGUGUAAUAUUGGGAAACUUGGAACUUCUUCACCCUGGAAGCAGACAAUUCCAUCCAAGUAGCAAGGACUUUGACAGUGGAGUGGACAACCUUACAAAACCAACAUAUUACGUUGUAUGGAGAAUGAAUAUGAACACCCACAUCUAUCCAGAGUCCGUUGUAAGCUUUAAGGCUGCUCCC